rnacentral:rRNA from 1 species
AUUGAACGCUGGCGGCAGGCCUAACACAUGCAAGUCGAGCGAGCGGCGGACGGGUGAGUGAUGUAUGAGGACUGACCGACAGAGGGGGAUAACUAAUGGAAACGGUGGCUAAUACCGCAUACUUGCGGUUAACCCAGAUGGGUUUAGCAAGUAGGUGGGGGAAAGGCUCACCUAGGCGACGAUCUCUAGCUGGUCUGAGAGGAGGAUGAGCCACACUGGGACUGAGACACGGCCCAGACUCCUACGGAGGCAGCAGUGGGGAAUAUUGCACAAUGGGCGCAAGCCUGAUGCAGCCAUGCCGAGUGUAUGAAGAAGGCCUUAGGGUUGUAAAGUACUUUCAGCUGGGAGGCGUUACCCGAAGAAUAAGCACCGGCUAACUCCGUGCCAGCAGCCGCGGUAAUAC